rnacentral:rRNA from 1 species
CCUACGGGAGGCAGCAGUGGGGAAUUUUGGACAAUGGGCGCAAGCCUGAUCCAGCAAUGCCGCAUGCAGGAUGAAGGCCUUCGGGUUGUAAACUGCUUUUGUACGGAACGAAACGGUUCGCUUUAAUACAGUGAGCUAAUGACGGUACCGUAAGAAUAAGCACCGGCUAACUACGUGCCAGCAGCCGCGGUAAUACGUAGGGUGCGAGCGUUAAUCGGAAUUACUGGGCGUAAAGCGUGCGCAGGCGGUGAUGUAAGACAGAUGUGAAAUCCCCGGGCUCAACCUGGGACCUGCAUUUGUGACUGCAUCGCUAGAGUACGGUAGAGGGGGAUGGAAUUCCGCGUGUAGCAGUGAAAUGCGUAGAUAUGCGGAGGAACACCGAUGGCGAAGGCAAUCCCCUGGACCUGUACUGACGCUCAUGCACGAAAGCGUGGGGAGCAAACAGGAUUAGAUACCCUGGUAGUCCACGCCCUAAACCGAUGUCAACUGGUUGUUGGGUCUUCACUGACUCAGUAACGAAGCUAACGCGUGAAGUUGACCGCCUGGGGAGUCGGCCGCAGGUUGAACGUCAAGGAUUGACGGCUUGAGAGNGCGAGGCGACGACGAGGGAGGAGG